rnacentral:misc_RNA from 1 species
GAAUCAUGCUCGGCAGUCUUUGGCAAGUGAGCGCUGCGUUCAGAUCGAAAUAACCAGUGACGGAGUUAGUGUCCAAAUAAAACGCGUGUGGCCAUCCCGAACGGCAAAAAUGUCCGAGAAUGGAGAGGAGAGCCUGGUGGAGACGGUGGAGGAGACCUACGAGACGGAGGUCCGCCGCAAGGUCAUCAAAACCAAGAUGAAAAUCCAAGAAACCUCGUCCACAACUACAACAACCACAAUGACAACGCCAGCCAAAUUAUAUGGAAAGGAUCUCAGUGUGUAUGACGAUGUCGAUGUAGACACCCUUCUGGACAAGUUAACGCCAGAAGAAAUCAAUAUUUUAGCCAAAGAAGUAGACCCAGAUGACUCAUUUCUACCUCCUUCGCAAAGGACUAGUUACGAUUGUGAUAAAGAACCCACGGGACCUCUAAAUAGGAAACAGUUAAUUGAACAUAUUAAUAAAGAAGCGAUAGAAACUCCAGAUAUACCUGAAAUUCAACCGUAUGUUGCUGGUGUGGUGAGAGGCAAGAAAUGGACCCCACCACCGCCGCCACAAAAGGACAUUGAUGCGCAAGAAAAAAUACAAAUAGACUUAGGAGAUGAAUAUGAACAUGCUCUGACAAAUGCAUCGCAGGAAGAAAUCAUUGACCUGGCCGCUAUUUUGGGUUUCCAUUCGAUGAUGAACCAGGACCAAUAUCAUGCGUCUUUGCUAAACAAAGGCCAGCCAGUUGGGCUGGGAUGGGACGGGAUCACUAAAGCCGCCAAGCAGAAAAUAUUCCCUAUGGAUCCUCCAAACAGUACUGAUGUUGAGGAUUCGAUAAGACGAGUGCAAAAUGACGAUCCCAAAUAUAUUGAUCUCAAUUGGAACAAUAUUAAGAAUAUUUCCGACGAGAAAUUUAACAGCCUCUUUGACGGUCUGGAACAAAACACUCACUUGGAGACGUUGUCCCUGUCCAAUACGGGAUUGACGGACCGAGGUGUGGACAAAUUGGCUCAAGCGUUAGAGAACAACAGCCAUGUGAGGGUGGUGAAUGUGGAAAGUAAUAAUCUUACGCCACUGGGCGUUGUCAGGUUGAUAAAGUCUCUGUUGAAGCAGACCAGUGUGGAGGAGUUCCGGGCAACAAACCAGAGGACACAAAUAUUAGGUAACAAAAUUGAGAUGGAAAUAACGCAACUAAUUGAGAAGAACCCCACGAUACUGAGGUUGGGGCUGCAUUUAGAAUAUAAUGAUGCGAGACAUCGAAUCGCUACACAUUUGCAAAGGAACAUUGACACAAUUCGGAAAGACUUAAAAAUGCGACUGCAGUUCAGGUUCUUUAAUCAUCGGAACAAGCAACUUAUUAAGUGAAGAACAAAAGAACGUCGCCUGUCUCGGUUGGGAUCAACCAGUCAGUGAGCACCGAAGACUCAUAAAGUACGAAGAUUUCGCGUCGAUCGUACUUCAAAACGGCCCCCCAACUACCUUGUGGGCUACAUUCGCGCUUAGAUCCAGGUUUCCGUAUAUUUCGCUUCAUCAUCAGGGCGGCCAGCCAGCCAAUCGAGUCACACAGGCGUGUUUUUGCACUUGUUUAGUCCUAAGCUAGAACCUAGUUACUCUACGGCAUAGUUUAUUUAUUUAAGAUUAGCAUAAAUCAUCAUUUAAAGUGUAUAUUAUGUUCAGACCAUUUACGUUUUAGGCGCUUUCCUAGAGAAUGGCUACUUUUGGAGAUUUCGCUCUGAAACUAUUCUCUAGGGUCGAUUGUAAGAGUGCAAUAUAUCCGCUCCUCCUUAAUAGUAUACAUAGAUCGAAUCCAGAUUGCUUGAAUGCAAGAAAUGUGCUCAGAAUGUGGUUUUUCCACCACCUCAAACUAACGUCUGCUGCAAUUUAGUAUUGUGAUAGUGUAAAAUGUCAUGAUUUAUUACAAGGAGGAGGAAAAGACAGGCCUAAAUGGAUCAAUGUUUAUUGCAAACAGUUUAGGGUGUUUAAGGUUGUGUAUGUUCAUGUUUGCAGGCUCCAUUUUGUGUCUGGUCUUCUCGACUAAAAGUGGAGCCCCAAACAAAAUUUGCUUCAACUGCAGAAACUGACUAAUCCGCUAUUAAAUUGCUUCGGUUUUUAGAAUACUUACGGCGUUCUAUUAAUGUUUAUUGUAAAUAUUCGCUUCUUUGCAGGCAAAGUUUUGACAUGAGAGAGUAAAAUGCAUUGCUCUUGCUAUUAAUAUAUGUAUUAUACAUUCAUAUUCGUUAUCUGGAUAUAUUAUACGCAUGUAGGGGUCUUAUAGGAAUUAUUCAAUAAAUAUUAAAGUAUUGUAGCUUUA